GGGUGGCCUAGUUGGGAGGGCGUCGGCUUGAUGCGCGAGUUGCCCGAGUUCGAGCCCCG
rnacentral:tRNA from 1 species